CAGUAUGUGUAUAUGGAUGCAUGUAUUAGGCAGUAUGUGUGUAUGGAUGUAGGUAUUAGGAAGUGUGUGUGUAUGGAUGUAGGUAUUAGGCAGUGUGUGUUUAUGGAUGAAUGCAUUAAGCAGUAUGUGUGUAUUAGGCAGACCUAAUUGGAAACCAUAUGGCAACAUUUAGGCCAAAAUAGCUGGUCUAGAAGAAUUCUCCAAUUCGGCUACAGUUACAGUUCAGCGGUUUUUGUUUAAACUUAGCAAUUCGGUUCUCAACUCACUGCAAUUCAGAGUUUAGAGAAUAAACCUCUGUGAGAUUGUAUUUGCUUUCAUGAAGGGCCGGCAAAAUGGAUAUUUGCCUAGCGCUGCAGAAAUCCUUGCACCGGCCCUGUUGCUGGCAGUGUGUAAUGUGUGUGAUGUUUGUAAUGCUUACUGGACAUAUGUAAUAUGUGUGGUGUAUGUAAAGUGUUUGUGUGUGUUCUGGUUUUCCCUCACUUCCUGCUGAGCUUUGAAUCGAGGGGCUAUGAAUUAUUGUGGUCCAUUGAGAGUUAAAGUCCCUGAUGGUCAAGCCAGUUUUAUUAAUAGGGAGUCACUGACUAAAUGAAAGUGUCAGCUGACUGUUUUCAGACAAUUAGCGGCGCUGCUUCUCAAUUCUGCAAGAGCCUUCUGGUUUAAAGAUUUUGAGAAAAUGGAAUUGCAGAGAGUCAGGGAGACA